GAAAUGCGAUAAGUAAUGUGAAUUGCAGAAUUCGGUGAAUCAUCGAAUCUUUGAACGCACAUUGCGCCCGCCAGUAUUCUGGCGGGCAUGCCUGUUCGAGCGUCAUUACAACCCUCAGGCCCCCGGGCCUGGCGUUGGGGAUCGGCGGAAGCCCCCUGCGGGCACAACGCCGUCCCCCAAAUACAGUGGCGGUCCCGCCGCAGCUUCCAUUGCGUAGUAGCUAACACCUCGCAACUGGAGAGCGGCGCGGCCACGCCGUAAAACACCCAACUUCUGAAUGUUGACCUCGAAUCAGGUAGGAAUACCCGCUGAACUUAAGC
rnacentral:misc_RNA from 1 species